rnacentral:pre_miRNA from 2 species
CGAGGUAAGUUGAAGUCUGAUUGUCGGAUCUCCGUAGUUUCGAUCAUUUUAUCCUAUCUCCAACAAAGCGAUAAAUGCAUCUUAACUGCGGUGAUCUGAAUUCUUGGACACUUUUUC